rnacentral:rRNA from 1 species
CCCUUAGAUGUUCUGGGCUGCACGCGCGCUACACUGACGCACGCAACAGGUGCCUGCUCCGAGAGGACUGGGUAAUCAUUUGAGUGUGCGUCGUGAUGGGGAUAGAAUAUUGUAAUUAUUACUCUUCAACGAGGAAUUCCUAGUAAGCGCAAGUCAUCAACUUGCGUUGAUUACGUCCCUGCCCUUUGUACACACCGCCCGUCGCUACUGCCAACUGAGAUGGGUCCUGAAUUGUUAGGAACGCCCGUCAAGGGGCCUACCCGGUCCCUAGUGCGGUGACGAGAAUAACUGUAAAUGGCAUAUCUUGUAGGGAGUAAAAGUCGUAACA